CGCCAUCUUGUAAAUGCAGAGCCUGUAGCCAAUACGUUUUCUUUAUGGCUUCUUUAUAGAAUCGCCGAUCAAAAUAUUGUAU